GAUGAACGCUGGCGGCGUGCCUAAUACAUGCAAGUCGAGCGAACGGACGAGAAGCUUGCUUCUCUGAUGUUAGCGGCGGACGGGUGAGUAACACGUGGAUAACCUACCUAUAAGACUGGGAUAACUUCGGGAAACCGGAGCUAAUACCGGAUAAUAUUUUGAACCGCAUGGUUCAAAAGUGAAAGACGGUCUUGCUGUCACUUAUAGAUGGAUCCGCGCUGCAUUAGCUAGUUGGUAAGGUAACGGCUUACCAAGGCAACGAUGCAUAGCCGACCUGAGAGGGUGAUCGGCCACACUGGAACUGAGACACGGUCCAGACUCCUACGGGAGGCAGCAGUAGGGAAUCUUCCGCAAUGGGCGAAAGCCUGACGGAGCAACGCCGCGUGAGUGAUGAAGGUCUUCGGAUCGUAAAACUCUGUUAUUAGGGAAGAACAUAUGUGUAAGUAACUGUGCACAUCUUGACGGUACCUAAUCAGAAAGCCACGGCUAACUACGUGCCAGCAGCCGCGGUAAUACGUAGGUGGCAAGCGUUAUCCGGAAUUUUUGGGCGUAAAGCGCGCGUAGGCGGUUUUUUAAGUCUGAUGUGAAAGCCCACGGCUCAACCGUGGAGGGUCAUUGGAAACUGGAAAACUUGAGUGCAGAAGAGGAAAGUGGAAUUCCAUGUGUAGCGGUGAAAUGCGCAGAGAUAUGGAGGAACACCAGUGGCGAAGGCGACUUUCUGGUCUGUAACUGACGCUGAUGUGCGAAAGCGUGGGGAUCGAACAGGAUUAGAUACCCUGGUAGUCCACGCCGUAAACGAUGAGUGCUAAGUGUUAGGGGGUUUCCGCCCCUUAGUGCUGCAGCUAACGCAUUAAGCACUCCGCCUGGGGAGUACGACCGCAAGGUUGAAACUCAAAGGAAUUGACGGGGACCCGCACAAGCGGUGGAGCAUGUGGUUUAAUUCGAAGCAACGCGAAGAACCUUACCAAAUCUUGACAUCCUUUGACAACUCUAGAGAUAGAGCCUUCCCCUUCGGGGGACAAAGUGACAGGUGGUGCAUGGUUGUCGUCAGCUCGUGUCGUGAGAUGUUGGGUUAAGUCCCGCAACGAGCGCAACCCUUAAGCUUAGUUGCCAUCAUUAAGUUGGGCACUCUAAGUUGACUGCCGGUGACAAACCGGAGGAAGGUGGGGAUGACGUCAAAUCAUCAUGCCCCUUAUGAUUUGGGCUACACACGUGCUACAAUGGACAAUACAAAGGGCAGCGAAACCGCGAGGUCAAGCAAAUCCCAUAAAGUUGUUCUCAGUUCGGAUUGUAGUCUGCAACUCGACUACAUGAAGCUGGAAUCGCUAGUAAUCGUAGAUCAGCAUGCUACGGUGAAUACGUUCCCGGGUCU
rnacentral:rRNA from 1 species